CGGGACGGGUGAGUAAUGUCUGGGAAACUGCCUGAUGGAGGGGGAUAACUACCGGAAACGGUAACUAAUACCGCAUAACGUCGCAAGACCAAAGUGGGGGACCUUCGGGCCUCAUGCCAUCAGAUGUGCCCAGAUGGGAUUAGCUAGUAGGUGGGGUAACGGCUCACCUAGGCGACGAUCCCUAGCUGGUCUGAGAGGAUGACCAGCCACACUGGAACUGAGACACGGUCCAG
rnacentral:rRNA from 1 species